UACGAAGGGGGCUAGCGUUGUUCGGAAUCACUGGGCGUAAAGCGCACGUAGGCGGAUUGUUAAGUCAGGGGUGAAAUCCUGGAGCUCAACUCCAGAACUGCCUUUGAUACUGGCGAUCUUGAGUCCGGGAGAGGUGAGUGGAACUCCGAGUGUAGAGGUGAAAUUCGUAGAUAUUCGGAAGAACACCAGUGGCGAAGGCGGCUCACUGGCCCGGUACUGGACGCUGACUGUGCGAAACGUGGGGAG
rnacentral:rRNA from 1 species